rnacentral:rRNA from 1 species
UACAGGGGGGGCAAGCGUUGUUCGGAAUUACUGGGCGUAAAGGGCUCGUAGGCGGCCAACUAAGUCACACGUGAAAUCCCCAGGCUUAACCUGGGAACUGCGUGUGAUACUGGAUGGCUUGAAUUCGGGAGAGGGAUGUGGAAUUCCAGGUGUAGCGGUGAAAUGCGUAGAUAUCUGGAGGAACACCGGUGGCGAAGGCGGCAUCCUGGACCGGUAUUGACGCUGAGGCGCGAAAGCUAGGGGAGCAAACGGG